AGAGUUUGAUCCUGGCUCAGGAUGAACGCUGGCGGUGCGCCUAACACAUGCAAGUCGAACGAAGGAUUGUGAAGGAACUUUACGGAGGGAAAACACAAUGACUGAGUGGCGGACGGGUGAGUAACGCGUAGGGAACCUGGCCCUUACAGGUGGAUAACAGAUGGAAACAACUGCUAAUACCGCAUAAGCGCCCAGCCUCGCAUGAGGCAGAGUGAAAAACUAAGGUGGUAAGGGAUGGCCCUGCGUCCGAUUAGCUAGUUGGUAUGGUAACGGCAUACCAAGGCGACGAUCGGUAGCCGGCCUGAGAGGGUGGACGGCCACAUUGGGACUGAGACACGGCCCAAACUCCUACGGGAGGCAGCAGUGGGGGAUAUUGCACAAUGGGGGAAACCCUGAUGCAGCGACACCGCGUGGGUGAAGAAGCGCUUCGGUGUGUAAAGCCCUAUCAGUGGGGAAGAAAAAGGACGGUACCCAAAGAAGAAGCACCGGCUAAAUACGUGCCAGCAGCCGCGGUAAUACGUAUGGUGCAAGCGUUAUCCGGAAUGACUGGGUGUAAAGGGAGCGUAGACGGUUGUACAAGUCUGAUGUGAAAGCCCACGGCUCAACUGUGGGAGUGCAUUGGAAACUGUAGAACUAGAGUAUCGGAGAGGCAAGUGGAAUUCCUAGUGUAGCGG
rnacentral:rRNA from 1 species